GGUUGACAAGUGGUUAUUGGAGUGAUUGAGUGGUGGUUGGAGUGAGGAAUAGGCUGCUAGAGGCUGCUGGAGCAACAAGACUCCCUGAAGCUGAGACUGGAAAGGGCAGGCCAAGUACUUCCAUGGCAACAAGCAAGUUUUAGGUCAUGGCAUGAAGGCAGUGUGCUGUGCAGGAGCAUGGCCUCUCUCUGUAGUAGUGCCACUGCUUUGGCUGACUCCAUAAGGGAAUCGGUCGUCCUUGCCCGGAACAACUGCUCCACUUUGCUGAUGAGAUCGAAGGCCUCUUGUGAUGGACGGUGUUGCUGGGUCUAUCAGUUCCUCCAGCCUCAGACCAGGACUGCAGAUGGUGUCGAACCAGUGGUCUACCUUCUCAAGGAACCAAGAUGUGAGGUAAGACUGUGGCCGUUGCUCCUCCUCAGCCAGGUAUUUCAGGCCAGCACUGGUCGCUCUACUGAAGACGUGUAUGGCAGGUGACAAUGACACCGAAAUUGAAUAAAUAUGUGCUGUUGGGGUCAGAUCUUUGAAAAGUUGGGAUCUCAUUUGUCUGCUGCAUUGAAGUUGGUCAACAACAAAAAUGGGAAUGAUUUUGCAGUCAUGAAGGAUAAAUUGGUAUGUACUGUGUCUCUGUGUUAAGGGCCGUUCACACCAGGAACUGUAACGAUAAAUGCGUCCACACUGACCAACAAUAACAAAAGUCUCUCCUUGUGUUGAUGAAUUUGCUGGCUAAAGUUCAAUGGAUUCUGAUUGCCUGUCAGCUUUUUAUUCUCAAAAUAACUCUUGACAGAUAUAGUUGGGAAUCACAUUUUUAGUGUUGUUAUCAUUAUAGUUCAUGUGUGGAUGUAAGGUCUGGCUCCCCCAACCGACCUUGCAGAGGUCGGCCGUGUAUGGGUAUGUAAAACUCUUGCUGGUCUCUUUGGUUUCUGGUAAUAACUUGAUGUGGCAUCUGUGAAUGUCUUGUACCAAGUGUACACUGACUGUUACCGGCUCUCUCCAUUCUCCACUGUGCCUGUUCUUACCUAGGACCAAGGAUGCAGAGGACAAGAUGGGUGUGCGGUAUGACUGAAAUGAUCAGAAAAGGUCAGAAGAGGCCCUUACACAAAGGUUUUUCUUGAUCCAGCAUCAGCAUCUCCAACACCUCCUGUAGCACUCCAGCCAAAUGUGCUACCUCUUCCUUACAUUAGCCCUCUUGUAGGUGUGCAUAGUGUAUGUAGAGCAUCCUUUCCACAUUGUGUCUUCGGUUGUUCACACACAAUUAUUGUUCAGACUUGGGAAUCUAAAAUGUUUUUCAGAAUGUCUUUGAAAAUCUAAAUGAGUGUCUGCCCUCCUUUUUAUGUUGCAGUCUCACCAUCUCCCUCACAGCCUUUUUUGUGUUUUGUUCCUGUUCUUGUUGUUGAAACACACUUAUUCCACACAUUGCAAAUUUAAUAAACAAAU